rnacentral:rRNA from 1 species
AGGGACUCUGACCCAGCGACGCCGCGUGCGGGAUGAAGGCCUUCGGGUUGUAAACCGCUUUCAGCAGGGAAGAAGCGAAAGUGACGGUACCUGCAGAAGAAGCACCGGCUAACUAUGUGCCAGCAGCCGCGGUAAUACAUAGGGUGCAAGCGUUGUCCGGAAUUAUUGGGCGUAAAGAGCUCGUAGGUGGUUCGUCACGUCGGAUGUGAAAAUCUGGGGCUUAACCCCAGACCUGCAUUCGAUACGGGCGAGCUUGAGUAUGGUAGGGGAGUCUGGAAUUCCUGGUGUAGCGGUGGAAUGCGCAGAUAUCAGGAGGAACACCAAUGGCGAAGGCAGGACUCUGGGCCAUUACUGACACUGAGGAGCGAAAGCGUGGGGAGCGAACAGGAUUAGAUACCCUGGUAGUCCACGCCGUAAACGGUGGGCACUAGUUGUGGGGACCUUCCACGGUCUCUGCGACGCAGCUAACGCAUUAAGUGCCCCGCCUGGGGAGUACGAUCGCAAGAUUAAAACUCAAAGGAAUUGACGGGGCCCCGCACAAGCAGCGGAGCAUGCGGCUUAAUUCGACGCAACGCGAAGAACCUUACCAAGGCUUGACAUAUACAGGAAUAUGGCAGAGAUGUCAUAGCCGCAAGGUCUGUAUACAGGUGGUGCAUGGUUGUCGUCAGCUCGUGUCGUGAGAUGUUGGGUUAAGUCCCGCAACGAGCGCAACCCCCGUUCUGUGUUGCCAGCAUUAAGUUGGGGACUCACAGGAGACUGCCGGGGUUAACUCGGAGGAAGGUGGGGAUGACGUCAAAUCCUCAUGCCCCUUAUAGGUAGGGCUACACACGUCUACAAUGGAUGGUACAGAGGGUCGUCAAUCUCGCGA